UUGGCCCUGGAUCAAGGCCAGCAGUUUGCUGAAGCUGUUGGUUUCAAGCAGGAACCAAAAGAACUGUGUUUCUGUAGUCUGUUGGCCAUCUUGGACCUUUGGAAAUAGAGUGGUCAAUUCAUCAGAAAGAAACAUCU
rnacentral:snoRNA from 1 species